AUAGAAUAGUGCAUACAUUAAAGCAACCGCAGGCAAUGCAGUAUGUUAAUGGAAUAACUGCACAGUACAGUGACCAUGAAAAACAAGAUUAAUGAAGUCAGGCAGCAUGGACGUCCCAAGGAGUAGCAGCGAAAUCCAAGACGCAGCUUCUUCACUAGAGGUGAAUUAUUCCCCAUAAAAUGCUUUGGUAGGAGAAACUCACACAAACUACAAAACCCAAAUGCCAUAGGACAUUGGUUUCCUAAGGAAAUUCUUCCAAAAUAGGAUGCUGGGCAUUUGCAUGUAUAGUGGAGGGAGAAAGUUCCUCCUCACCUUGCCCUUAUUUUGAGAUACAAUGUGGCUUAGGAAUUCCUGGUAGAAGAGGACAAGGGAUAGGCUUGCCACUGUCUCUUUGCAUUCAAAUUUAUUCACAGUUCCUCGCUGGGAACUUCCUUAACCCCUCGCCUAAAGCAGCACUCAAUAGCUGCAAGCAAGAGCAGACAGAGCUACGCUGUUUUAAAAAUGCCUGUUGCGAGAGAGGAUCUGCGUGUAGAUACUUGAGCUACAGCUGCUACCUGACUGUUCCUAUUAGGAGGGUUGGCCAAAGUUUUCCAGUCCCAAGACUUCUUCACCCUACAUGCUAGAGGGCUAAUGAUAAGGGCCACUGCUUCAUUGAAAGUAUCAGAUCGGAUGAAUAAAACAGCUGUUAAAUGUUUACAUUCAUCCCCUUCAGUGCCCUGCUGUCAAGGUAUCCGUGAGCAUCUUGCACUGUUGACUAGGCUUCCUCCUCUAUGUCUGGAGCUGCCAGAGAAGUGAUGGACAUCUGUGCAUGUUAGCCAAGAGGUACAGGUGCUAAAAAAGUUUAGAGCAAAAUAGUAGGUCAGUAAAACGCAUAGGCAUUCUGGCAGGAAGCUAAGGAAUAAACCAGCAGCCAUCCUAAGGUAUAACCGGCUU
rnacentral:lncRNA from 1 species